rnacentral:rRNA from 1 species
AGUGAACGCUGGCGGUAGGCCUAACACAUGCCAGUCGAACGGCAGCACAGUAAGAGCUUGCUCUUACGGGUGGCGAGUGGCGGACGGGUGAGGAAUACAUCGGAAUCUACUUUUUCGUGGGUGAUAACGUAGGGAAACUUACGCUAAUACCGCAUACGACCUACGGGUGAAAGCAGAGGAUCUUCGGACCUUGCCCGAUUCAAUGAGCCGAUGUCGGAUUAGCUAGUUGGCGGGGUAAAGGCCCACCAAGGCGACGAUCCGUAGCUGGUCUGAGAGGAUGAUCAGCCACACUGGAACUGAGACACGGUCCAGACUCCUACGGGAGGCAGCAGUGGGGAAUAUUGGACAAUGGGCGCAAGCCUGAUCCAGCAAUACCGCGUGGGUGAAGAAGGUCUUCGGGUUGUAAAGCCCUUUUGUUGGGAAAGAAAAGCAGCAGGUUAAUACCCCGCUGUUCUGACGGUACCCAAAGAAUAAGCACCGGCUAACUUCGUG